ACGUUAGCGGCGGACGGGUGAGUAACACGUGGGUAACCUACCUAUAAGACUGGGAUAACUUCGGGAAACCGGAGCUAAUACCGGAUAAUAUUUCUAACCGCAUGGUUCGAUAGUGAAAGAUGGUUUUGCUAUCACUUAUAGAUGGACCUGCGCCGUAUUAGCUAGUUGGUAAGGUAACGGCUUACCAAGGCGACGAUACGUAGCCGACCUGAGAGGGUGAUCGGCCACACUGGAACUGAGACACGGUCCAGACUCCUACGGGAGGCAGCAGGG
rnacentral:rRNA from 1 species